rfam:Trichobilharzia regenti genome assembly, scaffold: TRE_scaffold0055974
AUCCAGUUGACGAGUCCCAAGUAGGACGAAAUGCGCAUCCUGGAU